GGCUGGGCCGCUCCGCGCAGGGGAUUCCCAGAGCUCGCCCUAUAGUUCAGACAAAGUGAGGGGAAAAAAGGGAUUUUCCCGUUUGGAAGAGAGAAGAAUUGGGGCCUGACGCACCCCCUGGGUGACUCUGAAGUUCCCCCGGUGCUCCUUUGGCACCAAAUCUCUCCCUUGGCUGAAUGCUGCUGGCCCCCGGCCUGGUGGGACCCUGCCAGCACGGUGCUGGAGGUGAGAGCCUGGGAAACACCAUACCCACCCCAUCCUCCCCGCAGAACCUCACAGCCCCAUCUCUGUGGCAGCCUCUAUGAUCCGGGCUUCUUAUCUGGUGUUUUCCAGCUGGAACGGCCUUGGUUCCCUGUGUGGUAAAGGGGAUUGCUCUGUGGCACCUGGCUAUGGGGAAGGGAGGGAUGGAGCUGCCCCCGCGUUCCCUGGGCUGUUGUACCCCCAUGGGAUGUCAGCCCUGGCUUUGGAGGGCACUGGGAGGGUACAUUUGGUGCAGGCAGUGCUGUGUGCUGGCUCUGAUGUGGUGUUUCCUCCACAGCUGCUGCUCCUCUGCCCGCUCCUGGCUGCCCGGCAGCAGUUCUUCAGUGGCAAGCUUUAUGUCCUUCUCUAGUAGCUAAAGCUGCCAGUUGAAGAACUGUUGAAUGUAGCCACGCUCAUCGCUGCAACGUCGUCGGAUGUCAGCUGCAGCUGUGCCCUGAGCCACCGGGAUGAGUGAGCCAACAGCAUCCCAUGGAGGCACCCCAAGGGAGCUGAGGAUGAGCCUGGUGGGGAUGAGGAGCCUCCAGGCAAAGCCAGGGCUAUAAAACAGGGAAUGGGGUCCCACCCCAUGGUGGGAUGGCAUUGAAUUGAGACGGCCAGAGACAUUAAACUUUGUGUUUUCCUGAA